CAGAACCGGAGUUAUGAAUUUUUGAAAAUGAUCCUCCAUACCGAAAAUCACCAGAUUCUCGAAUUUUCGAUCCCCUCUGUUUUCCAAAAUAUGUGGCAAAAAAAUCUUCGAAUGUGUAUCUCUUUUUUUCGAUAUAGAAUCCGUAAAAUAAUUCAGCUAAAUCAAAAAUGUAUUGGUAUAUUUUUAGCCAAA